rnacentral:rRNA from 1 species
GCCCUUAGAGUUUGAUCAUGGCUCAGGAUGAACGCUGGCGGCGUGCCUAAUACAUGCAAGUCGAACGAGUGGCGGACGGGUGAGUAACACGUGGGUAACCUGCCCUUAAGUGGGGGAUAACAUUUGGAAACAGAUGCUAAUACCGCAUAGAUCCAAGAACCGCAUGGUUCUUGGCGAAAGAUCGCUUUUGGAUGGACCCGCGGCGUAUUAGCUAGUUGGUGAGGUAACGGCUCACCAAGGCGAUGAUACGUAGCCGAACUGAGAGGUUGAUCGGCCACAUUGGGACUGAGACACGGCCCAAACUCCUACGGGAGGCAGCAGUAGGGAAUCUUCCACAAUGGACGCAAGUCUGAUGGAGCAACGCCGCGUGAGUGAAGAAGGCUUUCGGGUCGUAAAACUCUGUUGUUGGAGAAGAUGACGGUAUCCAACCAGAAAGCCACGGCUAACUACGUGCCAGCAGCC